CUCUCUCUCUAGGUUCUUAUACUCAACGUGAAAUUGCGGCACUUUGGUCUGAUUCAUGUGAAUUAUCUUUACUACUUUUUUUUGGGUUAAAACUUAAAAGUCAUGAAGUUUUACUCAAAUUUCUUUGUUUUAUUAAUUCUUUACAGUUUUUUUUAAAAUUUCCAAGAAAGGGGAUCUAGAAACUCUUCUCAUCUAAGGAAAAAAAUGUCCAAUAAACUCUGUUCACAGAGAUGAAAUCCAUGAAUCAUUGUCCACAAAAAUGAAAAUCAAUGGUAGAGUUCCGUUUCGGUGAAUGUGAUGCAAUGUGAUGGAUGCAAUAUGGUGGAUACGAUGUGGUGGCUGCAAUGUUGUGAUGUGAAUUGAUGGCAGCGGUUCGAUGGUAACAAUGUGGUGUGAUGGUUACGUGUAUUGUUGGUAUGAUUAGGAAACAAAACAAUGAUAUUUUUCUUGUUCUUAUGGCUAUCAUUGUGAACUUGUUUGUUUUUAUGGUAUUCUCAUAAAAUUCAGGAAGAUUCAUUGAAAUUAUAAA